rnacentral:rRNA from 1 species
GCGAAAGCGAGUCUUAAUAGGGCGUCUAGUCGCUGGGAAUAGACCCGAAACCGGGCGAUCUAUCCAUGGGCAGGUUGAAGGUUGGGUAACACUAACUGGAGGACCGAACCGACUAAUGUUGAAAAAUUAGCGGAUGACUUGUGGCUGGGGGUGAAAGGCCAAUCAAACCGGGAGAUAGCUGGUUCUCCCCGAAAACUAUUUAGGUAGUGCCUCGGACGAACACCAUUGGGGGUAGAGCACUGUUAAGGCUAGGGGGUCAUCCCGACUUACCAACCCUUUGCAAACUCCGAAUACCAAUGAGUGCUAUCCGGGAGACACACGGCGGGUGCUAACGUCCGUCGUGAAGAGGGAAACAACCCAGACCGCCAGCUAAGGUCCCAAAAUAUUGCUAAGUGGGAAACGAUGUGGGAAGGCUUAGACAGCUAGGAGGUUGGCUUAGAAGCAGCCACCCUUUAAAGAAAGCGUAAUAGCUCACUAGUCGAGUCGGCCUGCGCGGAAGAUGUAACGGGGCUAAGCAAUAUACCGAAGCUGCGGAUGUGUGUAUUUAUACACACAUGGUAGGGGAGCGUUGUGUAAGUGGCUGAAGGCAAGCUGUGAGGCUUGCUGGACAUAUCACAAGUGCGAAUGCUGACAUGAGUAACGAUAAUGGGGGUGAAAAACCCCCACGCCGGAAGACCAAGGUUUCCUGUCCCAUGCUAAUCAGGGCAGGGUAAGUCGGCCCCUAAGGCGAGGCAGAGAUGCGUAGUCGAUGGGAAACGGAUUAAUAUUUCCGUACUUGGUAUAUCAGUGAAGGGGGGACGGAGAAGGCUAGGCAAGCACAGUGUUGGUUAUCUGUGUGAAAGUGCGUAGGGCGACAAUUUAGGUAAAUCCGGAUUGUCAUUCACCUGAGACACGAGACGAGACUCCACGGAGUUGAAGUUGUUGAUGCCAUGCUUCCAGGAAAAGCCUCUAAACUUAUGAUAUAUCGAACCGUACCCCAAACCGACACAGGUGGUCAGGUAGAGAAUACUAAGGCGCUUGAGAGAACCUGGGUGAAGGAACUCGGCAAAAUCGUACCGUAACUUCGGGAGAAGGUACGCUGCUGUUUGUGAUGGGACUUGCUCCCUAAGCGAAUGGCAGCCGCAGUGAAAUGGUGGCUGGAACUGUUUAUUAAAAACACAGCACUGUGCUAAAUCGAAAGAUGACGUAUACGGUGUGACGCCUGCCCGGUGCCGGAAGGUUAAUUGAUGGGGUUAGC